rnacentral:rRNA from 1 species
AGUGAAAUAGUCCCUGAAACCGUGCGCCUACAAGCGGUCGGAGCUGUGUAAACAGUGACGGCGUGCCUUUUGCAUAAUGAACCUACGAGUUACUUUUUCCGGCAAGGUUAAGGAUCUUGAGAUCUGCAGCCGAAGCGAAAGCGAGUCUUAACAGGGCGAUUAGUCGGAAGGAGUAGACGCGAAACCAAGUGAUCUACCCUUGGUCAGGUUGAAGGUUAGGUAACACUAACUGGAGGACCGAACCGAUAAGCGUUGAAAAGCUUCCGGAUGAACUGAGGGUGGGGGUGAAAGGCUAAUCAAACUUGGAGAUAGCUCGUACUCCCCGAAAUGCAUUUAGGUGCAGCCUUGGGAAUUACUACUGUGAGGUAGAGCGACUGAUAAGAUGCGAGGGCUUCACCGCCUAUCAAGUCUUGAUAAACUCCGAAUGCGCAGUAGUUCGAUCCCAGGAGUGAGGGCAUGGGUGCUAAGGUCCAUGUCCUAAAGGAGAAGAAUCCAGACCAUCAGCUAAGGUCCCGAAAUAAUUGCUAAGUUGAACUAACGAAGUCAGAUUGCUAAGACAGCUAGGAUGUUGGCUUGGAAGCAGCCAUUCAUUUAAAGAGUGCGUAACAGCUCACUAGUCGAGGAGUUUGGCGUGGAUAAUAAUCGGGCAUUAAGCAAUUUACCGAAGCUAUGGGAUCAGUAAUGAUCGGUAGGGGAGCAUUCCACUCUGCGUCGAAGGUGAAGCGUGAGCUUUGCUGGAGCGUGUGGAAAAGCAAAUGUAGGUAUAAGUAACGAUAAAGGGGGUGAGAAACCCCCUCGCCGAAAGACUAAGGUUUCCUGAUCAACGCUAAUCGGAUCAGGGUUAGUCGGGUCCUAAGGCUCAGCCGAACGGUGAGGCCGAUGGCAGAACAGGUUAAUAUUCCUGUACUACCUUAAGGAGUGACGUGGAGACGGAGGAGUGACAGCGCCGCGGACUGACGGAAUAGUCCGUUGAAGGGUGUAGAUGUUGAUUAUCCCAGGCAAAUCCAGGAUAAGAGUCGAACCUGAUAGUAUACCAAAUUCUUCGGAAUAAGGUAAUAGUGCGUGUAAGCAUACUCCCAAGAAAAUCCGCUAAACUUAAUCUUUAAGGUACCCGUACCGCAAACGGACACACGUAGUCGGGUUGAAUAUACUAAGGCGCUUGAGUGAUUCACGGUUAAGGAACUAGGCAAAUUGACCCUGUAACUUCGGGAUAAAGGGUCCCAACGAGAGUUGGGCGCAGAGAAUAGGUCCAGGCAACUGUUUAACAAAAACACAGGGCUGUGCUAAAUUGAAAGAUUACGUAUACAGCCUGACACCUGCCCGGUGCUGGAAGGUUAAGAGGAGAUGUCAUCGCAAGAGAAGCAUUGAAUUGAAGCCCCAGUAAACGGCGGCCGUAACUAUAACGGUCCUAAGGUAGCGAAAUUCCUUGUCGGGUAAGUUCCGACCUGCACGAAUGGUGUAAUGAUCUGGACACUGUCUCAACCGUGAGCUCAGUGAAAUUGUAGUAUCGGUGAAGAUGCCGAUUACCCGCGAUGGGACGAAAAGACCCCGUGAACCUUUACUAUAGCUUAACAUUGAAUUUGGGUAAUUGAUGUGUAGGAUAGGCCGGAGACUUUGAAGCAGGUACGCCAGUAUUUGUGGAGUCGCUGUUGAAAUACGGCCCUUUGAUUAUUUGAGUUCUAACUCGUAGAUGCGAGGACACUGUUUGGUGGGUAGUUUGACUGGGGUGGUCGCCUCCAAAAGUGUAACGGAGGCUUCUAAAGGUGCCCUCAGGACGAUUGGUAACCGUCCGUAGAGUGUAAUGGCAUAAGGGCGCUUGACUGGGAGACAGACAAGUCGAUCAGGUAGGAAACUAGAGCAUAGUGAUCCGGUGUUUCCGUAUGGAAGGGACAUCGCUCAAAGGAUAAAAGGUACUCCGGGGAUAACAGGCUGAUCCCUCCCAAGAGCUCAUAUCGACGGAGGGGUUUGGCACCUCGAUGUCGGCUCGUCACAUCCUGGGGCUGGAGAAGGUCCCAAGGGUUGGGCUGUUCGCCCAUUAAAGUGGCACGCGAGCUGGGUUCAGAACGUCGUGAGACAGUUCGGUCUCUAUCUAUCGUGGGCGUAUGAAAUUUGCGUGGCUCUGACACUAGUACGAGAGGACCGUGUUGGACUGACCGCUGGUUUACCAGUUGUGCCGCCAGGUGCAUUGCUGGGUAUCUAAGUCGGGA